GCAAAGCCAAGGCCCCCCCACAACAGGCGACGCGACGAGGCACGAGGGCGAGGGAGGGAGCGGAGGAAGGCGCCACCGGUUUCAAGCAAGUCCUAGCCCUAGGCGACCCCUCGGUGAAGGAUUCGAUCGGUGGUGAAGCCCGAGGUGCUUCCCCUGUUGCUCUCCUCGGCGGGCUGUGCCGCGCGGACCCGGGUUGAUCCGAUCGACUCGGCCCGGCUCGGCCCCGCCAUGUCGACGAAUAGGGUUCUUUGCAAGUUCUUCAUGCAUGGAGCUUGCUUGAAAGGAGAGUACUGUGAGUUCUCCCACGACUGGAAAGACCAAGCGAAUAACGUUUGCACAUUCUACCAGAAAGGUGCAUGCUCAUAUGGUAGCCGUUGCAGAUAUGACCAUGUCAAAGUUUCUCGUAACCCUACAGUGCUGCCGCCACCACCAUCGUCAAGUACUGCAAGACUUGCAUCUACAUCUCGUCAACUUUUAAGUUCCAGUCAUCUUCCUCACACAGGACACCAAACAGAUUCAAGCAACCAAAGAAAUCAGAUAUCUGUGGAUAUGCUGGCACAUCCUACCAGUAAGCCUGCAUGGAGUAAUGAUUUUCAACAUGUUGUUUCAGAGGAUGAAAUUGACUGGUCCUCUAACCAAACUUUGCAAAACCAGACAAAAUUGAAACCUUCUGAUCUGCCUAUUUGUUCGUUUGCUGCUGCUGGUAAUUGUCCUUAUGGGGAAGGGUGCCCUCAAAUGCAUGGAGAUCUUUGCACAACCUGUGGAAAGAUGUGCUUGCAUCCUUAUCGUUCUGAUGAGAGGGAGGAGCAUAUCAAGUUAUGUGCGAAAAAUCACAAACGCCUUGAAGCUCUGAAACGCAGCCAAGAGAUAGAAUGCAGUGUCUGUUUGGAUCGUGUGCUAUCAAAGCCUACUGCUGCUGAAAGAAAGUUUGGACUGCUAUCUGAAUGUGAUCAUCCUUUCUGUAUCGCAUGCAUUAGAAAUUGGCGUAGCAAUUCUCCUGCCUCUGGUAUGGAUGUGAACUCAGCACUGAGGGCUUGUCCAAUAUGUCGCAAACUUUCGUACUAUGUCAUUCCAAGUGUUCUUUGGUACUUCUCGAAGGAAGAGAAAGAGGAAAUCACUGAAAGCUACAAAUCCAAGCUCAAGUCUAUUGAUUGCAAGUACUUCGAUUUUGGGACUGGCUCAUGCCCCUUUGGUACAAGUUGUUUCUACAGGCAUGCCUACAGAGAUGGACGCUUGGAAGAGGUUGUACUGCGGCAUCUUGAUGCUGAUGACGGAAGUACAGUAAUUGCAAAAAAUAUCAGGUUGUCGGACUUCCUCAGUCGGAUGCAUCUUUAGGGACCACCAGCUGUAUAUAUAUCUAAUGCAUUCUGGGAUAUCAUUAUCCACCAAUUAUUUGCAAUAUUUGAAGAGCAGUUUAACUUGAGGCAUCUUCGGAAACCACAGCUUUCUCUCCAUUUAGUGGUGGUUGCUUUGUCGCCAGUUGAACAAAGAAAUUUUGAAGUUCUCCUGGUCCGGCUAGACACCUGGAUGACUUCUUGAAAGAAGCACAGUUGACCUAAGGGCAAUGGGGAAAAAAGUCCCAUAAGAAUUGUGCUGGAAUGUUGAAGUAAAAUAAUUUAUAAAAUUCACUGUAUGCGGCUCAUGUGUUGAUUGCUGGUCUUCUGGGCUACCAAUGAUUCAGUAGAACAUUUCCUGGCCGUCCAGUAACAGGGCAGGUUUGUAAAAUACUUCGUUCUACCUUGGUGCUCUUAUCUUGUUAAAUGUCCUGCACCAACUAGUCAACUGAGGUCAUUUGGUUGUAAUACUUAUUAUACAAGGGGGAAAAAGAGCAAACGAAACACAGAAUGGUCGUUGUCCUGCAGCAGGCUCGAAGGUGACUCGUACUUCCCAGCUGGAAGUGCCUUGCGACAGGUCAAUUGAGGUUAUUUGGACAUACUUCUUAAAAUGUAUGAGAAUAACAAAUGAACACAUGAUCACUAUACUGCACUGGUUGUGCAAAGUACUCCAGUAAACUGUAGACAAGCCGUUGACCGCUUA